UGCCUGAUAUGAGUGUCCUUUUAUUCUUUAUUCAUUCACAAAGGAAGCAGGUGAUAAGCCAUUUGAAUUAGCAUGAAUGGCAACCAAGUCCUGUGUGGAGACACUCUUGAACAUAAGGAGGAAAAUUACAUGCUGAGCAGAAGAAUCUCUUGACAACAGAUAUUGGAGUAUAUGCUGCAAAGCUAAGAAAAAAAUAACUCUGCAACUCUGCUUUUUUUAGCAGCUUCACGUUUGUUGAUGUAUAAUGGCAACUUUAUAUGGGACAGCAUUUGUUUUGAAAUAAUAUGUCAAUCUCUGAAAAGUUAAUCCCAGCAAGGUGUGAUCCAACAUUGUAAGGUUUGUUGUAGUAAUAGAGUUCUAUGAACACCCAGAUGUUUUUUCUUGCCGUGCUGCUUGGUCUUAGACUCAGGAAAAAUCCUGUACUUGCAGUGAAAUGUUGCUGUGUAUAAAGAGUUAAUAAAUUUAUGGAAGAUUUUCAGCAUUUACAUUUUAUUUACCCUGGUUAUAAAAUCUUGAACUGUCAAGAAUGAAGAGCAGGAGUGCAGUACAAAGCCAAGGGUGAAUUAGAAAGGAAAUACUGAGAAAGCAUAUAUUCAGUGUUUGUAGCGUGGAAAAAGGAAUCAUACAGCAGGCUUUAAAUAUUGUUAACUCUAAGGAAUUUGAAUGUAUUUACACGAAUGUAAGAGAUGCCACAGAUUUAGAAGUUAGGAGUUUUGAAAGUUACUGGGCGAAUUCCAGGAACAGUACAAAUGUUUUUUCAAGCUAAAUUAAAGAUUAAAUCUUAAAUGUUCUGAAAGCACAUUGUUCCACCAAUAAGUAAUGUUGAUACAGAGGCUGAACUGAAGGGUAGUUGUCUACAGAUUUUUGUCCUUUGUGAGUUUUUUGAAGGACCCUUCGAAUGUCAUGGAAUAAUCAAACUACUUAAUAUGCACACUAUGCUUAGUGUUCAACUGUAUUGUAGAGUUGUGCGUGUGUGUGUGGUUAUUUUUUUGCCCAGAACUCCACUGUAGGUGCAGUUGCCAACAGAAAAGUGCCAUUGUUGAUUUUGCUCUCUAUGUGGGUAUUCCAGAAACAAAAGUAAACCCUAUCAAAGAAGAUACAUUCUUUGUUGAUCCAUUCAGACAGAAUCAUGCGUGGAAGAAGCAUCUCUUAGGAAUGGGACUAAACAGUUUUUGUCUGGUGUCUGGGUGUGGGUCUGUUUUUGUCUCAGAGCGAAUAAAUGGAUUAAAUAUCUACUUGAGGUCUUAUCCUCACUGA